UGGGGAAUAUUGCACAAUGGGCGCAAGCCUGAUGCAGCGACGCCGCGUGGGGGGAUGACGGCCUUCGGGUUGUAAAACCUCUUUCAGCAGGGACGAAGCGAAAGUGACGGUACCUGCAGAAGAAGCACCGGCCAACUACGUGCCAGCAGCCGCGGUAAUACGUAGGGUGCGAGCGUUGUCCAGAAUUACUGGGCGUAAAGAGCUCGUAGGUGGUUUGUCGCGUUGUUCGUGAAAACCGGGGGCUUAACCCCUCGGGCGUGCGGGCGAUACGGGCAGACUAGAGUACUGCAGGGGAGACUGGAAUUCCUGGUGUAGCGGUGGAAUGCGCAGAUAUCAGGAGGAACACCGGUGGCGAAGGCGGGUCUCUGGGCAGUAACUGACGCUGAGGAGCGAAAGCGUGGGGAGCGAACAGGAUUAGAUACCCUGGUAGUCCACGCCGUAAACGGUGGGUACUAGGUGUGGGUUUCCUUCCUUGGGAUCCGUGCCGUAGCUAACGCAUUAAGUACCCCGCCUGGGGAGUACGGCCGCAAGGCUAAACUUAAAUGAAUUGACGGGGUCAUAGCUGUUUCCU
rnacentral:rRNA from 1 species